ensembl:lncRNA
GCCCAGAGGCGCCAAAGGUCAGGGGGAUCAAUAUACAGACCCUACCGUGGGGGAAGGGAGGGGGAAGGGAAGACUCGUAUUGAAAACCGCUGCAAAAGGGAAGCCAAUGAGAGGGAAGGAAGUUUCUGAAUAAUUAAAAAGUUCAGAAUAAGCAAACUCAGUUGCCACGGGGGAAGGAGGUGGGAUGAGGGAUUUUAAAAGAGCGGUUGAUGUGGUAAUUAAGAAUUUUGGUGAGCGCCUGGGCAGGUCACCUCCUUUCUCAGAUCAGAGCCCCAUCAGAAAUUCUUUCAAGUGUCCUUCUGCGUCGCCAAAGAUGACAACAGGAAAUCAAUAAGUGCUUGAAAUGAAAGGGGAUGUUGGCGAGCCCCCAGGCUACAGAUUUCCCGCCGCCAGCCUGUUCUGAACUCCUAGCGUGCCUUUGCACCGCCUCUCUUAAGAAGAGCUACCUUUUAUUCCAAUUCUCAGGACGAAGGAGCCAUUUGCAUUUCCCACCAGCUGCUCACUUCAGCUGCACUGGCGCUGGGCGAGGCGAGGACCCAAAAGCUCGGCGCGGUGUCUGCGGCGGCCGGGACUGGGGUUAACCAGCCCUUGGCGGGCGAGACUCCAGACAGAAGGGGGGCGAGGGGAGUGUGAGCUUCCCAGAGCCCCUCCAUCCAGCCCGGGUUUGCAAACCUCGGGAUACUGAAAGGGGGAGGGGGUGGCACGCGCUUAUCUGCGCGUCUCCAGCGCAGUCCCUUUCUCUUUCCCUCGUCUCCCCGGGCGUCUCUGACUCUUGAUCCUGGUUUUCUCACUCUUUCCCCAUUUUUCCGUGAGAUUCUCCAUCCUUGCCUCCAGAUGAAGGCGAGGCUGUUCUGCUCUGAGCAUCUCUUAAUCUCUAUAAAAAUGAAAAGAAAAGAAGGAGGCAGACAUUAACCCAUAACUCAGGGGGCUGGGGAGGCGGCAAAAAAUCUUUGAUGGGUAGAGAGGAAAAUGUCUUUCUUGGACUAAAUUAUGUGAUAUGUUGUGACCUUAGAUUUCAGUCGUGAGACUUGCAGAAAUUUGAUUUUCUUGCCUCAGCACGAUUUCAGAAAUCAGAAAUAGAAAUCCUCCAAGACAGAGGGGAAAUAAAAGUAAAAACAGCACGUGGGUAUUUCCCCCUCAUUUCUCUCCCCUUAAAUAAAACUGUCUUGAAUUUCCACCGGUAAAGAGAGAAAGUCUGAGUUUUCACGGAUGUUAUGUGGAGGUUAGAAAUGGCUUAAAAAUCUAGACCUCUGGUCAGUUUUCUUCCUGGCUGAAGAGGCUAACCCUUUCCAUAAAAUGAGUCCAUCUGUCGACUGUUAGCUGUUUCAAAGUGAAGGGAUUUAGCACUCAAAACAAAUUGAGCAAGUUUGUUUGCCUGUUUUUACUGCUAACUCAAAUGAAUUCAAAACACGGAGUAAUUCAAGAAAACACAUAACAUAUUCCAGACAGCUCCCAAAUGUAGGCAAAGCCCAGCACCUAUAUGGUGACCUGGGUUAUUUUAAACGCCAGGCUUUCAAAGAUGUAUAUAUUUCACACACAUUCUCCCGGCGUCAUUAUAUUUUCUUAAAAUUGCUAAUUUGCUAUAUUGAUGUAG